UUUUUAACACAUAUAAAUAUGGAUAUCUCAAUAACUCGGAACUGUCAGAGGACCUAGAAAAAUUGGCUAAACGAUUUACAAAAAAUUAUACCAACAGAUUUAAAAAAUUGACUGACUUAAAUGAACUAUAAGGCUUCAUACCGAUUGAAAAUUUAGCGUAAUUGGUGAUAAAUCAGGCGAUUUCUAGUCGACCACUCGCCGAAUACCGUGAUGAGAAGCAAUAAUGCAAAGAGAAGCCGCUGUUUUCUCCAGAUAGCAUUCAUGUCCCACUUUAACUUUUCGUAUUUCUGAGUCUUUCAUGUAAAUAUUGUUUGCAGUUGUUGAUGGACUGGGAUGGGAUAGCCAAGAUGAUACAAGACCAGUUAACAGACACGAAUCCACCUAUAAACGCUACGGCAAAGUAAAACUUUUGGCAUAAGUUUAAAUUCUCCUAAAUCAUCUUGCCUUUAAUCAACUUAAAAGGUCGUUAACGUCAAGUUUCAUUUUUCGAAAUCUAGCGCCAACAACCCGAAUCAAGGGAAUUUUUUG